GGCGAACGGGUGAGUAAUGCAUCGGAACGUGUCCUGUAGCGGGGGACAACCCCGAGAAAUCGGGGCUAAUACCGCAUACGUCCUACGGGAGAAAGUGGGGACCGCAAGGCCUCACACUAUAGGGGCGGCCGAUGCCGGAUUAGCUAGUUGGUGGGGUAAAAGCUCACCAAGGCGACGAUCCGUAGCUGGUCUGAGAGGAUGAUCAGCCACACUGGGACUGAGACACGGCCCAGACUCCUACGGGAGGCAGCAGUGGGGAAUUUUGGACAAUGGGCGCAAGCCUGAUCCAGCCAUGCCGCGUGAGUGAAGAAGGCCUUCGGGUUGUAAAGCUCUUUCGGCCGGGACGAAAUCGCUCUCGCUAAUAUCGGGAGUGGAUGACGGUACCGGAAUAAGAAGCACCGGCUAACUACGUGCCAGCAGCCGCGGUAAUACGUAGGGUGCGAGCGUUAAUCGGAAUUACUGGGCGUAAAGCGUGCGCAGGCGGUUCCGCAAGUCAGAUGUGAAAUCCCCGGGCUUAACCUGGGAACUGCGUUUGAAACUACGGAGCUAGAGUGUGGCAGAGGGAGGUGGAAUUCC
rnacentral:rRNA from 1 species